rnacentral:rRNA from 1 species
UACGGGGGGGGCAAGCGUUGUUCGGAAUUACUGGGCGUAAAGGGCUCGUAGGCGGCCAACUAAGUCAGACGUGAAAUCCCUCGGCUUAACCGGGGAACUGCGUCUGAUACUGGAUGGCUUGAGGUUGGGAGAGGGAUGCGGAAUUCCUGGUGUAGCGGUGGAAUGCGCAGAUAUCAGGAGGAACACCGAUGGCGAAGGCAGAUCUCUGGGCCGUAACUGACGCUGAGGAGCGAAAGCGUGGGGAGCGAACAGG